rnacentral:sRNA from 1 species
GCUGCAGCAAAAUCUGUAGCCGGGCCUCGCAAUCCCGAAUAUCCAAACGACGCACAACACGCGCCAGCGUGUUUUUU